GUUAAAAUGCUCUAGUUGGAUAUUUGUUGAAAACUGUCGGUCUACCCCAGUGGUCAGCACACGGCUCGCUUUCGAUACUUCCCUGGGGAGAGCGCUUGCACUUAGCUGUGUGACACGUGGUCCAGAACUUGUACUUUGAGGAAAUGAGAGUGUUUCAAUCAGAUGCCUGUCGUGCAUUCAUUAGCAUGGAAUAACAGCAUGGGGCCGCGGUUUGAAAUUGUUGGUCAUCGAGCUGUGGUAACGAAAAUAGGGCUAGUUGGGGGCAUUCGUAUUCAACUGUUAGAGGUGAAAUUCUUGGAUUUCUUAAAGACGAACUACUGCGAAAGCAUCUGCCCAGGAUGUUCUCAUUGAUCAAGAACGAAAGUCAGGGGAUCGAAGACGAUCAGAUACCGUCCUAGUCUUAACCUUAAACCAUGCCGACUAGAGAUUUGGGUCGUCAGAAGCGUGACGCCCUGAGCACCAUAGGGGAAACCAAAGUUUUCGGGCUCCGGGGGGAGUAUGGUCGCAAGGUUGAAACUUAAAGGAAUUGACGGAAGGGCACCACCAGGAGUGGAGCCUGCGGCUUAAUUUGACUCAACACGGGGAAUCUCACCAGGUCCGGACAUGGAGAGGAAUGACGGAUUGACAGCUCUUUCU
rnacentral:rRNA from 1 species